GAAACGGUAGCUAAUACCGCAUAACGUCGCAAGACCAAAGAGGGGGACCCUCGGGCCUCUUGCCAUCGGAUGUGCCCAGAUGGGAUUAGCUUGUUGGUGGGGUAACGGCUCACCAAGGCGACGAUCCCUAGCUGGUCUGAGAGGAUGACCAGCCACACUGGAACUGAGACACGGUCCAGACUCCUACGGGAGGCAGCAGUGGGGAAUAUUGCACAAUGGGCGCAAGCCUGAUGCAGCCAUGCCGCGUGUAUGAAGAAGGCCUUCGGGUUGUAAAGUACUUUCAGCGGGGAGGAAGGGAGUAAAGUUAAUACCUUUGCUCAUUGACGUUACCCGCAGAAGAAGCACCGGCUAACUCCGUGCCAGCAGCCGCGGUAAUACGGAGGGUGCAAGCGUUAAUCGGAAUUACUGGGCGUAAAGCGCACGCAGGCGGUUUGUUAAGUCAGAUGUGAAAUCCCCGGGCUCAACCUGGGAACUGCAUCUGAUACUGGCAAGCUUGAGUCUCGUAGAGGGGGGUAGAAUUCCAGGUGUAGCGGUGAAAUGCGUAGAGAUCUGGAGGAAUACCGGUGGCGAAGGCGGCCCCCUGGACGAAGACUGACGCUCAGGUGCGAAAGCGUGGGGAGCAAACAGGAUUAGAUACCCUGGUAGUCCACGCCGUAAACGAUGUCGACUUGGAGGUUGUGCCCUUGAGGCGUGGCUUCCGGAGCUAACGCGUUAAGUCGACCGCCUGGGGAGUACGGCCGCAAGGUUAAAACUCAAAUGAAUUGACGGGGGCCCGCACAAGCGGUGGAGCAUGUGGUUUAAUUCGAUGCAACGCGAAGAACCUUACCUGGUCUUGACAUCCACGGAAGUUUUCAGAGAUGAGAAUGUGCCUUCGGGAACCGUGAGACAGGUGCUGCAUGGCUGUCGUCAGCUCGUGUUGUGAAAUGUUGGGUUAAGUCCCGCAACGAGCGCAACCCUUAUCCUUUGUUGCCAGCGGUCCGGCCGGGAACUCAAAGGAGACUGCCAGUGAUAAACUGGAGGAAGGUGGGGAUGACGUCAAGUCAUCAUGGCCCUUACGACCAGGGCUACACACGUGCUACAAUGGCGCAUACAAAGAGAAGCGACCUCGCGAGAGCAAGCGGACCUCAUAAAGUGCGUCGUAGUCCGGAUUGGAGUCUGCAACUCGACUCCAUGAAGUCGGAAUCGCUAGUAAUCGUGGAUCAGAAUGCCACGGUGAAUACGUUCCCGGGCCUUGUACACACCGCCCGUCACACCAUGGGAGUGGGUUGCAAAAGAAGUAGGUAGCUUAACCUUCGGGAGGGCGCUUACCACUUUGUGAUUCAUGACUGGGGUGAAGUCGUAACAAGGUAACCGUAGGGGAACCUGCGGUUG
rnacentral:rRNA from 1 species